rnacentral:rRNA from 2 species
AGGUCAAGCUAUUAAGAGCAUAGGGUGAAUGCCUAGGCACCAGAAGGCGAAGAAGGACGUGGUAAGCUGCGAUAAGCUGCGGUUAGGCGCAAACAGCCAUUGACCCGCAGAUUUCCGAAUGGGGGAACCCACCUGAGGUAAAUGCUCAGGUACUAUUGCAUGAAUCCAUAGUGCAAUAGGGCGAUACGUGGGGAACUGAAACAUCUAAGUACCCACAGGAAAAGAAAUCAACAGAGAUUCCGUGAGUAGUGGCGAGCGAAAGCGGAGGAGCCCAAACCAUACUAGCUUGCUAGUAUGGGGUUGUGGACUGGCAUAAUGAUUCUCGGAGCUUAGCAGAAUCAGGCUGGAAAGCCUGGACCAUAGAGGGUAAAAGUCCCGUAUGCGAAAAGUGAAGAGACAGGCCAGAAUCCAGAGUACCACGAGGCACGUGAAACCUUGUGGGAAGCAGGGAGGACCACCUUCCAAGGCUAAAUACUAACUGGUGACCGAUAGUGGAGCAGUACCGUGAGGGAAAGGUGAAAAGAACCCCGGGAGGGGAGUGAAAGAGAACCUGAAACCCUAUGUUUACAAGCAGUUGGAGAGCGUUAAGGCUCGACAGCGUACUUUUUGUAGAACGGUCCGGCGAGUUACUGUAUGUAGCGAGGUUAAGUACUAAAGGUACGGAGCCGCAGGGAAACCGAGUCUUAAUAGGGCGAUUAAGUUACAUGCAGUAGACCCGAAACCGGGUGAUCUAUCCAUGGGCAGGUUGAAACGAGAGUAAAAUCUCGCGGAGGACCGAACCCGGAACCGUUGAAAAGGUUUGGGAUGACCUGUGGAUAGGGGUGAAAUGCCAAUCGAACUCGGAGAUAGCUGGUUCUCCUCGAAAUAGCUUUAGGGCUAGCCUCAAGGUAGUCUAACGGAGGUAAAGCACUGAUUGGGCUAGGGGCCUUACCGGGUUACCGAACCCUAUCAAACUCUGAAUGCCGUAUAGAUGUUCCUUGGGAGUCAGACUAUGUGAGAUAAGUUUCAUAGUCGAGAGGGAAACAACCCAGACCACCAGCUAAGGUCCCAAAAUCGCAGUUAAGUGGAAAAGGAUGUGGGUUUGCUAAGACAACUAGGAUGUUGGCUUAGAAGCAGCCAUUCAUUUAAAGAGUGCGUAAUAGCUCACUAGUCGAGUGAACCUGCGCCGAAAAUGUCCGGGGCUUAAACUGUGUACCGAAGCUGUGGCUUUGUGUGAGAGCACAAGGGGUAGGGGAGCGUACUGUACUGGCAGAAGCAUGAUCGGAAGGACAUGUGGACGGUACAGUAGUGAGAAUGCCGGAAUGAGUAGCGAGAGUAAAGUGAGAAUCUUUACCGUCGAAAGCCUAAGGUUUCCUGGGGAAGGUUCGUCCGCCCAGGGUAAGUCGGGACCUAAGCUGAGGCCGGAAGGCGUAGGCGAUGGGGAACAGGUUGAAAUUCCUGUACUACCGCUGUUCGUUAAGAGAAGUGGGGACGCAGGGGGAUAGGUUAAGCGAGCGGCUGGAAGAGCUCGUCCAAGGGAGGUAGAUAGGCCGGUAGGCAAAUCCGCCGGUUGUUUCGAAGUCCUGAUGGGGAGGGAAAUAUAAGUACCGAAGUAACUGAUUCCGCACUGACAAGAAAAGCCACUAUCGAGAGCAGAGGUACCCGUACCGCAAACCGACACAGGUAGGUGAGGAGAGAAUCCUAAGACGAGCGGGAGAAGCGUUGUUAAGGAACUCGGCAAAUUGACCCCGUAAGUUCGCGAGAAGGGGUGCCUGGUAAGACAGGCCGCAGAGAGUAGGCCCAAACAACUGUUUAUCAAAAACACAGGUCUCUGCUAAAUCGAAAGAUGAAGUAUAGGGGCUGACGCCUGCCCGGUGCUGGAAGGUUACGGGGAUCUGUUAGCUUAGAGCGAAGCAGUGAACCUAAGCCCCAGUAAACGGCGGCCGUAACUAUAACGGUCCUAAGGUAGCGAAAUUCCUUGUCAGGUAAGUUCUGACCCGCACGAAAGGCGUAAUGAUUUGGGCGCUGUCUCGACAACGCACCCGGUGAAAUUGUAGUACUCGUGAAGAUGCGAGUUACCCGCGACAAGACGGAAAGACCCCAUGGAGCUUUACUGUAGCCUGAUACUGGGUUUUGGUAUUCUUUGUACAGGAUAGGUGGGAGGCAUAGAAGUAUGUACGCCAGUAUAUAUGGAGCCGUCGUUGGGAUACCACUCUAAGGAUGCUGAAGCUCUAACCAGAGGCCGUGAAUCCGGUCUUGGGACAAUGUCAGGUGGGCAGUUUGACUGGGGCGGUCGCCUCCUAAAAGGUAACGGAGGCGUCCAAAGGUUACCUCAGCACGGUUGGAAAUCGUGCAUUGAGUGCAAAGGCAUAAGGUAGCCUGACUGCGAGACAGACAGGUCGAGCAGGUACGAAAGUAGGGCUUAGUGAUCCGGCGGUAUGAGAGUGGAAUUGCCGUCGCUCAACGGAUAAAAGCUACCCUGGGGAUAACAGGCUUAUCUCCCCCAAGAGUCCACAUCGACGGGGAGGUUUGGCACCUCGAUGUCGGCUCAUCGCAUCCUGGAGCUGGAGUAGGUUCCAAGGGUUUGGCUGUUCGCCAAUUAAAGCGGUACGCGAGCUGGGUUCAGAACGUCGUGAGACAGUUCGGUCCCUAUCUGUCGUGGGCGUAGGAUAUUUGAAGGGAGCUGUCCUUAGUACGAGAGGACCGGGAUGGACAAACCUCUGGUGCACCAGUUGUCACGCCAGUGGCACAGCUGGGUAGCUAAGUUUGGAAGGGAUAAACGCUGAAGGCAUCUAAGCGUGAAGCCCCCCCUAAGAUGAGAUAUCCCACCGUUUACGGUUAAGACCCCAUGAAGACUACAUGGUAGAUAGGCCAGGUGUGCAAGUGCAGUAAUGCAUUUAGCUGACUGGUACUAAUAGGUCGAGGGCUUGAUCAAG